GAUGAACUCUGGCGGCGUGCUUAACACAUGCAAGUCGAACGGGGAAUAUUUCAUUGAGACUUCGGUGGAUUUGAUCUAUUUCUAGUGGCGGACGGGUGAGUAACGCGUGGGUAACCUGCCUUAUACAGGGGGAUAACAGUCAGAAAUGGCUGCUAAUACCGCAUAAGCGCACAGAGCUGCAUGGCUCAGUGUGAAAAACUCCGGUGGUAUAAGAUGGACCCGCGUUGGAUUAGCUAGUUGGUGGGGUAACGGCCCACCAAGGCGACGAUCCAUAGCCGGCCUGAGAGGGUGAACGGCCACAUUGGGACUGAGACACGGCCCAGACUCCUACGGGAGGCAGCAGUGGGGAAUAUUGCACAAUGGGGGAAACCCUGAUGCAGCGACGCCGCGUGAAGGAAGAAGUAUCUCGGUAUGUAAACUUCUAUCAGCAGGGAAGAUAGUGACGGUACCUGACUAAGAAGCCCCGGCUAACUACGUGCCAGCAGCCGCGGUAAUACGUAGGGGGCAAGCGUUAUCCGGAUUUACUGGGUGUAAAGGGAGCGUAGACGGUGUGGCAAGUCUGAUGUGAAAGGCAUGGGCUCAACCUGUGGACUGCAUUGGAAACUGUCAUACUUGAGUGCCGGAGGGGUAAGCGGAAUUCCUAGUGUAGCGGUGAAAUGCGUAGAUAUUAGGAGGAACACCAGUGGCGAAGGCGGCUUACUGGACGGUAACUGACGUUGAGGCUCGAAAGCGCGGGGAGCAAACAGGAUUAGAUACCCUGGUAGUCCACGCCGUAAACGA
rnacentral:rRNA from 1 species